ensembl:snRNA
GUUUUCAACGUGAAGGUUAGCACUCCCCUUCAUAAAGACUGAAGAGGUCCUAGUGGUCUUCACAACAUAUGUACAGUUAAGAUAUUGCCACCUAUUCUGUGGCAUCCUACCAUGUCAUAAG